CGUCACCCUCACGGACUUGAAGGAGGCCGAGAAGACCAUUGGCCGAUCCGGGGAUGCCAGGGCCACCGAGCAGCGAAUCGGGGAGGACGAGAAGCGGGGCCGAGAAGGGGAGCAGCCGCUGGACACCACGGACUCGGCCCGGCGAUGCCGCACAGCCAACCCCGAGGACUCCUCGGUGUAUCCCGUGAAUCCCAUCGUGGUGAACUCUCAGGCAAAGAAAGCACCGGAGCCCGAGGGGCUGGGGCUGGGCUCCGAGGCGGAGGCCGAGCUGCGGAACCGGCUGG